rnacentral:rRNA from 1 species
GACGAACGCUGGCGGCGUGCUUAACAAUGCAAGUCGCACGGAAAGGCCCUGCUUUUGUGGGGUGCUCGAGUGGCGAACGGGUGAGUAACACGUGAGUAACCUGCCCUUGACUUUGGGAUAACUUCAGGAAACUGGGGCUAAUACCGGAUAGGAGCUCCUGCUGCAUGGUGGGGGUUGGAAAGUUUCGGCGGUUGGGGAUGGACUCGCGGCUUAUCAGCUUGUUGGUGGGGUAGUGGCUUACCAAGGCUUUGACGGGUAGCCGGCCUGAGAGGGUGACCGGCCACAUUGGGACUGAGAUACGGCCCAGACUCCUACGGGAGGCAGCAGUGGGGAAUAUUGCACAAUGGGCGGAAGCCUGAUGCGGCAACGCCGCGUGCGGGAUGACGGCCUUCGGGUUGUAAACCGCUUUCGCCUGUGACGAAGCGUGAGUGACGGUAAUGGGUAAAGAAGCACCGGCUAACUACGUG